AUAGUUACCUGGUUGA
rnacentral:rRNA from 1 species